rnacentral:rRNA from 1 species
UACGUAGGGUGCAAGCGUUAAUCGGAAUUACUGGGCGUAAAGCGUGCGCAGGCGGUCUUUUAAGUCAGAUGUGAAAUCCCUCAGCUUAACUGGGGAACUGCGUCUGAUACUGGAUGGCUUGAGUUUGGGAGAGGGAUGCGGAAUUCCAGGUGUAGCGGUGAAAUGCGUAGAUAUCUGGAGGAACACCGGUGGCGAAGGCGGCAUCCUGGACCAACACUGGACACUGAUGAGCGAAAGCCAGGGGAGCAAACGGG